UACGUAGGUGGCAAGCGUUAUCCGGAAUUACUGGGCGUAAAGCGCACGCAGGCGGUCUGUUAAGUUUGACGUGAAAGCUCCCGGCUUAACUGGGAGAGGUCGUUGAAGACUGGCAGACUUGAGGCGAUGAGAGGGGUGUAGAAUUCCCGGUGUAGUGGUGGAAUGCGUAGAUAUCGGGGGGAAAUACCAGUGGCGAAGGCGGCACCCUAGCGUUAGCCUGACGCUCAUGUGCGAAAGCGUGGGGAGCGAACGGG
rnacentral:rRNA from 1 species